rnacentral:rRNA from 1 species
GAUCUUCCCCAAGAGUCCAUAUCGACGGGAUGGUUUGGCACCUCGAUGUCGGCUCGUCGCAUCCUGGGGCUGGAGUCGGUCCCAAGGGUUGGGCUGUUCGCCCAUUAAAGCGGUACGCGAGCUGGGUUUAGAACGUCGUGAGACAGUUCGGUCCCUAUCCGCUGUGCGCGUAGGAGUCUUGAGAAGGGCUGUCCCUAGUACGAGAGGACCGGGACGGACGAACCUCUGGUGUGCCAGUUGUCCUGCCAAGGGCAUGGCUGGUUGGCUACGUUCGGGAGGGAUAACCGCUGAAAGCAUCUAAGCGGGAAGCCUGCUUCGAGAUGAGGACUCCCACCCCCUUGAGGGGUUAAGGCUCCCAGUAGACGACUGGGUUGAUAGGCCGGAUCUGGAAGCACCGUGAGGUGUGGAGGUGACCGGUACUAAUAGGCCGAGGGCUUGUCCUC